rnacentral:lncRNA from 1 species
UGUACACUAAUUAAGGUCUUUCCCCUACGUGAGGAAAGACCUUAUUGUUUUUCUAAUUAAGGUCUUUCCCCUACAUGGGAAAGACCUUAUUGUUUUUCUAAUGUUUUUUCUUUUUCUUUUUUUUUUUUUUCUUUUUUUUCUUCCAACAUUUUUUUGACAGGGCCUCCUCCCCUUUCUGUUGAAGUUAUCAAGACCAAAUAUGGACCAUCGAUAGACCUCAUCAAUGACUUUUACCAGAUGAACUUUUGUAGGAUUUCAUCAUCCCCUUUAGAAGUUAUCUCCCUUUUAUUGAUUUUUUUCAACAUGGCCCCCCUUUAAUGUUUUAAAAGGUAUCAUGACCUUAUAUGGACAAUAAGUAGAUAUCAUCAUGAUGUAUUACCACAUGAGGCUGCAUAGGAUUUCAUCAUCCCCUUUGAGAGUUUAUAUCCCCUUAUAUAGCAAUUUUUUAUAUUUGCAUUUUUCUCAAAAAGUAUUAGAGAUAGAAUGUAAUUGAAAAUGACAGCAUGUACAAGAACAGAUGGCAAUGUUUAUAAACAUAAACAAUUAAUUUGUUACUUACCCUGAUAAGGAGUUAUUUCCCUUUACAAAUUAUAAAUAAUUUUUGAAAAAUUCUAUUUUCAGAACCAGAAGUCAUAGAGACCUUGAACCUUCACCAAUAAUCUUUAAUUCAUGUGACCUUCAAUAUGCAC